AUGUCCAGGCCUCCAAUGCUUUGGGUCGGAUGCCGUGACAAUUAUGGUAUGUCCAAGCAAUAUUAUUGAAGCUAGGCACUUUUUCUGGUUUUGUUAAACUUACUAAGUUGAUGACUUGAGGAAGUAAAGGGUUGAAGUAGGGAUAAGUGGAUAAAAACAGUGGGGUUAAUUGGUAGACUGUAGAGAGGUUGCUGUAAACCAAAAUCCCUGCAUUUAUUGAUCACUGAGAAAACAUUUUCUUUCCGUCAUUAGAAGGGAAAAUAAAAUGGCUGAAUUUUUAAUCCUGUUUUGUACUUUUAACCCAGAUACUACUGAGAGGUCCUCAGUAAUGUAGAUACCACUAUGCAGUUUGUUUGUCAUGUCCUUGUUCAAAUUUCCUAAUUAUAGACUAUCUGUUAUCUUCCU